CCAAUUUCAUUUAGAAAGCCAGGAAUGCAAAGUGGAGCAACGCUACAGUGUGUUCAGUGGCCGUGUGAGUGGUCUCCCUAAAGCAAGUAUUGCCUUACUCUGGGGCCCAGGAGGGAACAAAAGCAAUUUUGAUAUUUUUUUUGUUCAGAUCUAUUGUAGUCUAGUUUAAUUUGCAAAUAAAUGCCUCAGACCCAAGAAAUCCAGAUCUCCACUCUCAGUCUCACCACGACCACCAUCUCAUUUUGUGAUCAUGAUGAAAUCUGAAUUAAGAUAUCCUUUGGGUAAUGAUGAUGCAGUUUAGCAAACCCUGUGUGGUGCUGAGUUUUUCAAAAUUGCAACUCUCUUCUAUUUCUUCUGCCCUGCAUCUGUUAAAAUCAUUGCCAGUAUCAUUUUUGACAGCUUGGAGCUGUAUCUGAACACCUGUUAUUCAAACCCCAAAGAAACUGUCAGAAACGAGAAGCAUCGUUUAAAUAAAUACAGAUGACAACAACAGUGUGGAAAAGAAGCAUAAACAGAAUUUGUUACGCUUUUAUUUUCUAGAAUGCUACAACUGAGAAAUUCCUGCAAGGAAAAGCAGGUCUGGGCAGCCACCACAGGUGCUUCAUUAAUCUGUUGCAACUGACACUUACAGAUUGACGCUUAACGUACUGCCAUGAGUGGAUGAUUACAAUCCCCAUACCCUGAAGGGCAUUUUCAUGGAACUGUCAGCAGUUCAUCUCUGAUGCUGUUGGCUAGCAAGGACAAAUACAGCCCAGGGUGAGCAGCAAGACAGACUGAUCGCCAUGUUCCCACCUAGAAGAGUGAUGCAUGGUGACUACAUCCCACUCACUGUGGGACUCUGAAGCUCUUAACAAAGCUGUGCCAUGGAAACAGUGUUGUGCACUGGAAACUACUUACAAUGAAAAUUCAAAUCUUUGUACUUCCAAUGAAACACCCUUGGUUUUCCUCUCCUUCACUUUUAUUACCAUAGGAAGUCCUCUCCAGACCUGGGAGAACUGGGUGUCACAGAGAUGUUUGUGUCCACAGCAGUCUUUU
ensembl:lncRNA